GCACUUGUUGCAAUCGUCUUGAAACCGAUGGGAGCUGUAACUCCAGUAGCGUUGAUCUUGUAAGGAGGAUCAUCCCAUCUCGUCUUUGUUAUAUUCUUGCAGUCCAAGCAACAAAUCCAACCAGGUCCUUCUCCAGUAGGACACUUCUUCCCUUUAGGGAUUGUGCACAAUCCAGAGCAAAAGUUUGAUACCUCGUUCAUGUCGAUCCAUAGACCAUCUAUAGGGACUAGUUCAUGGAAGCGGCGGAUUUCUUCACCCCACCAAGAAACAGUCUUAGGGUUAAGGAAAUCAGGAAAGUGAACUGCACCGGGCCAUACUUGGGCCAAGAAAGGCUUUCCUUCGUACUUGAUGAACACGUCAUUGGCCAUACCUCGUUGGUAUACACCGUAGCUGGAGUUGACACCAAUACCGGGAUCGUUGAUGACGACAUACUUCAUGCCCAUCUUGUGGAUUCUGUCUAAGAAGUUUAAUAGCUUGGCACGAGGGUAGCUUAUGGGACUCAACGUGAAGUCUUUUUUGGCAUCCAUGUGAUCAUCAUCGUUCCAAAUCACAUCAAGAGGGAUCUUAGCCUUUUGGUAACUGUCCACCACGUCUUCAAUAACUGAUAAGUUACGGUAUCCCCAUCUACAUUGGUGAAAUCCUACAACACAAAUAUUGAAACAAGAUUAUAAGUACUAUAAAAUCAAAUCAAAGAUUUGCUGUAAUAAAUACUUCUUUAAUGUCACAUUGCCGAAACCAAGAUUAUAAUGUCACAUUGCCGAAACCAAGAUUUGCUUCUUCUUUAAUGUCAACUCAAUGAUAGAACCGUGGUCCAGUGGCCACCAUGGACCAAUAUCAAGAUCAUUUAGGGACCAAUUAAAAAUAGCGAGGAUCAACGUUUAACAAAAGAGGAAAGCAAAAGAACACGUCUUCACGUUCUUCUUUAUCUUUUACUAUUUAAAACCCAUAAUUAGAAAGCGACCUCCAUUUAUUCUACAACAUAUCCCACAAAAAGGGUAACCUUUCUAAAAGCUGUGUCGGAGAAAGAUAACCUCUUAACUGUGACUCCAUUACUACAUGUGUCAAUUAUUACAAGACUAUUCAACACAUAGUUCAGUUUUAAAAACCAGAUUUUCUUUUACUAAAGAACAUAAAUCUAAUAGAUUCUCAUUAGCAAAGCAACUGAUACGCAAAUCUAUUUUCAGAAACAUAAUCAUUAAUCACAAAUCCUAUAAGACAAAAUCAUCUUUUAAUUUUAUUUUACCACACAACAUUAAUUUAAUAGAUUCUCAUUAGCAAAUGGUACAUAAAUGGGUGCAAUAAAGCCCUAGGCACUAAGCAAAAAUAACUGCUAACAGCAUUUUCAACCCCAAUGCAAAAUUGACUGCAAAAAGGAGUUGAUUAUGCAGUUGUGAAAAACAAAAAAUACAAUAAAUUUUGUAAUGGGUUGUAGAUGCUAUAAAACGCCUAAAAACUUUAUUAGAUUUAGAUGUCUAUUUAUAUAGAUAAAUCAAAAAUCAAAAAUAUAUAAUCUAUUUAUUUAUUAGAUGUCUAUUUAUAUAGAUUGAAGUUUAUAACAAAAAUUAUAAUACUCAUUUAUAGCAUAAUAUAUUAUUUAGUAUAAUUCAUAACUAAUCCUAUAAAACAAAUAUCAUCUUUUAAUAUUAUUUAACUACCAAAAAAAUAUAUUAAACUGAAACACAAAGGAGAAACAGAGCAAUAAAUGUUUUUACCUAGAGACCAGUACGGCAUGGGAGCUGGCCGUCCGAUUAACGAAGUGUACUGAUCAACGACGUCGAGCGGCGAUGGUCCGGCGACGAAGUAAAAAUCAAAGACUCCUCCAAUAACUUUAUAAGUCAAAGACGUUCCUCUAUAGAACACAUCCAUACCGUUACUAUUAAGAAGCAGAACCGCAUGAGCGUACGGUUUACCUCCAACGUUCCUCAAAUCCAUGUAAACCGGAUGCGAACCAUAAAGAUCGGUGUUGAGGUUAAUAGCCGACACAUCCUCCGUGUAGAGCGUGUAAGGCUCGUUAGGGACGAGUUUGAUCCCGUUGGCUUGCGAGUUUUCACCUAACCCGUAUAUGGACGCGUCUUUAGGUAACGAGGUUGAGAUCUCGAGGUACUGGUCCUUGAACACCAUCUCGCCAAAAGCUGAGUUAGAGCUUGUGUUGAAGAGCGUUUGGCCGUUGGAUCUACGUUUCACGGCGAAGCUGAACGGGUCUGUCGUGUAGCUGAAGAUGAGCUCCGAGCCGGAGAGUUCUUGAACUGUGAUCGGAGAUUUUCUUGAUUUUCCGAUCACUUUCCCCACCGGCGGCGGCUGUUCGCGGGGGAGGAGGUUGUAGGGGACCUCCCAUCGUUGUUUCUUGGCGUCUGUGAUGUGAACGCGGAGGCGAGUAUCGGUCUCGUGUCUGUGAGAGAAUCCAACGGUUAGAAAUCGAGGAGGUAGUGUAGGGUGCGAAGUAGAGGAUUAAGAGAGUGGUGCUAGUGCUACUUACUUGACGUAGAGGCGGAGGGUGGUGAUGUCUGAGCCGUAGAUUUUGUUCUUCUGUUUGACUUGGAGAUAGCCGAUGAAUCCACCGUCUGGAGAUUCUUCGAUUGAGAUCAAACGGUAGCCUUUGCCGAUGGUGUUGGAGCAGUGGAUGGGUGAGAAACAGAGGAUUAAAGCCACGAGAAGAGAAAGAGAUGAAAAAACUAUUCGUGAAGUGACCAUGGCUAUUUUUAUUCUAGUGAUACUCCACACUCUACAGUGUUAUGUGUAUAAUGAAGAAGAGAGAAAAGACCCUCGAUUAAAGAGCUCGAUGAUAAGUUCGCGAAACACUAAACGAGGGGAUAUAAAUAGUAGAAGAAAAUGUUUAGUCGUUCUUUUAUUUAUUUUAUAAAUAUAAAAAAACUGAUAUUACUAGUAUUAUUUAUCAAAGGGUCUGAUGAUGUCAACAAAAAAAUCAAAGGGUCUGAUAUUUAUUUAUGCGUGUAUCGAUUAAAAAUCGUUAAUACGGGGGGGGGCGGGGGGGCUUAAGCGGGCGGGCUAAAUGUGAAACUGGAGUUUUUUGGGCUUAAGCGGGCGGGCUAAACGUGAAACUGGAGUUUUUUUGCGUGCAGUUCAUUCGUAAAUCAUGGCAAGAUCAAGUGAAAUUCAGAGUUUAUUCCAUAAAUCUGUAGUCAAUUUUAUUUUCUUUUAAGUUGAAUAUGUAUAACCUUUUUAGGUGUCUGGUUAGAGGUUAUUUCCGAAAACCAAUCAGCUUUCAUACCGAGGAGGGCAAUUUCUCAUAAUGUAUUGAUAACUCACGAAGUGUUACAUUAUCUCAAGACUUCGGAAGCACACAAGAAUUGGUCUAUGGCUGUGAAAACAGAUAUUAGCAAAGCCUACGAUCGUCUAAAAUGGAAUUUCUUAGAAAGAGUCAUAUUCCAAAUGGGUUUCCACAUCAAAUUCGUCAAAUAGAUGAUGCAAUGCAUAACUACUGUCACAUACUCCUUUCUAAUUAAUGAUGAGGUGGCAGGGAAAGUCAUACCUUCUCGUGGGAUUCGACAAGGUGAUCCUAUUUCACCAUAUGUUUUCAUUCUCUGCGGCGAGGUCCUUUCUGGUCUUUGCAAAGAAGAUCAGCGUGAUGGUUCGAUGACUGGUAUCAGAGUGGCCACAAAAUGCCCCCGCAUAAACCACCUCUUAUUUGCUGAUGAUACGAUGUUCUUCAUCCACACUAACCACCAGAGCUGUAUCGCCCUGAAAGAUAUUCUAUCAGAAUAUGAGAAAGCAUCAGGGCAAAUGAUUAAUGCAAACAAGUCAUCAAUAUCUUUCUCAGCAAAAACUUCUCAAGAAGAGAGAACCCGAGUAAAGCAAACACUGGGAAUUGAUAAAGAAGGGGGAGUAGGAAAGUAUUUAGGUCUACCUGAGCUAUUUGGAAGGAAGAAAAAAGAUCUCUUUGCAUCUAUAGUAGACUGUAUCAAGCAUCCAACCAGGUCCUUCUCCAGUAGGACACUUCUUCCCUUUGGGGAUCGUGCACAAUCCAGAGCAAAAGUUUGAUACCUCGUUCAUGUCGAUCCAUAGACCAUCUA
rnacentral:lncRNA from 1 species